rnacentral:rRNA from 1 species
GCCUCAGAUCAGGCAGGGCUACCCGCUGAACUUAA